CUCUUAAGAGCUUCCGAACGGCGAUCCUUCUACUCGGAGCAAACAUCGGCACAAACAUGCAAGCAAACAAACAAAUACAACUAAGAGCAGUACACCAAAAUAAAAGACAGACUUUAAAAGAGCGUACUAACGACAAGGCUCGAUCUAAGGUCACGCGAACGUAAGGAACACUUAAAACGGAACUAUGGUUGAAAAGAUAAAGCUAUCGAGAGUUUUGAAUUAUAAAAGAAAGAUAAGAGCUACAAGCUUUAUUUAUUUUAGUUGAGAAAAGCAAUGUAAAGAUAUUUCAGAGAAAUAUCCUUAGUUAGAAUUAAUCAAGUCAUAUUUAUAUUUUCAUAAGAAAAGACGGUGUAAAGCUUACUCCAAUUUUAUUUAUAAAUAUUUGAGUACAAUUUAUGCCAAUUAAACAUUUAAUUUAAAAAUAAGAUACAUGUAGACAUCUAAGCGUAUAGCUUUACAUCUCGAGUUCAACUAAGUAGAUUAAAUUAAAAACACAUUUACAUUUAUAUUAGCCAAAUUAAUAUUUAAUUAUGAAAACUCGAGAUAUAACCUAUACAGAUUUUAUUUAGAAAACAAAUUGAAUAAACAUUAAUCAAAUUGAAUUUAAUUUAUGAAACGCCGAGGUAUAACUCUAAGUGGCUUUUAAUUGGAAGAAUUAUUUAGAUAGGCAUUAAUCCAAUUAACUUUAGUUUAUGAAAAACCGAUAUAUAACCUAAUUGGCUUUUAUUUAGAAGAGGGUAUGAAGUAGGUAUUAAUCAAAUUAACAAUUAUUAUGAAAAACGAUGUUUAACGCUAAAUAGAUUUUAUUCAGAGAAGAACUCGUUUGUCAGGCAUUAAUCAAUUUUAAUAUAAAUUUUAUUUUCAAAAACAUGUGUGAAGGAAAACAUACCACUAACGUGUAAUUUACAUCAUUAUGAAUCUAACGCAACUUGAACGGACGAAAACGGAAUUAAAACGUGGGUUCUAUGGGUUAAACAAGGUUGUAGGGGCCUAAACGUAAUUAACCGUAGACUUGGAGGGUUAGCUGAGAAGAUUGGCAAGACACAAGAAAUAGUGCUCGCGAAAAGGUUAAAGGACAGGGUUAGAUUUGCAAAACCGCAGGGGCUGGACUGGAUCUAGGGAAACUAAUAGAUCCAGGGGGUUAUCUGCUAGUUUGCCAAGACACAAAGGAAAGAGGAAAAAAUUACAAAGUUCUCCAGGGGCUAAACUGAAAAACGGCGCUUCAUCUUCUUCCCCACGCCAGGAGCAGGCGGCGGACAGAAACAGAAGGCAAGGCAGUCUGUUACGGUUGCAAAAACAAGGAAAAGAGAGAAAAAGAGGGAAUCGCCGGAAACGAAGUCCGAUCUCGCGCAUGAACGGCAAAAUGGAACGAUAUCGACGAGGCGAACAAGAUGGUGUGCUCACCUUCGGCAAGAGAUGAACAAUGGUGGCGGAAAAGCUCGCCGGAGUUGGGGAAGACGACGGAGCCGACAUCGGAUUCAUGCAAUCCACCACACCACGGCGUAGAGCUCGAAGAGAGGAACUCCAUGGUGGUGUCGGUUUUCGCCGGAAGUUCACGGUUUCGCCGGAAAAGCUCGCCGGAGUUUGACAAAGACCGAACUUUGACUUCAGAUCUACGGAGUUAGGAGAUGCAACUCGUAAAAAGGUUUUCAGAUCUGAAAUCCUCGCGUCGAGACGAACGCGGUGAUAUAUAUAUACGCCACACUCGGAAAAGAUAUUUUCGAGUUGACUUUUUGAUUUUUCGGAUUUUCUGAAUUUAUUUAUCUGCGCGAAAACAAUUCCAAAAAUAGCUGGACUCGUUUUCUAAAGCAAGAAAAAUAUCUAGAAAAUUCUGAAAAAUCUGAGAUAAAUCUCAGUGAUGAAUUGGGAUGCAAGGAAUCCAAAUAAAAUACUUGGAGCUCGUGAAAAGGAUUCUAGAGCCUUCUAAAAAUUAGAUUUAGCUCUAGGAAAAGGAGAAUAAUUUCCGGAAAAAGAUGGAAAAUUCUCACAAGGGUCUGGGCAACGUCUAAACGUAUUUUCAAACUUUUGCACUCAAGAAACGCCAAGAUGCAGCGACAUGAAUGUACAGACAUAGAAUAACAUUUUUAAUUUAUGAAAGCAAACAAUUAUUUUUCCUAUACUAAAUUUCCUGUAAAAGAAAAUUAAAUAUUGGGAAAAUUUUAAAAUUAUGAGAAAAUCAUUGUUUAUUUAUCCCUUUUAUUCACAACCUGAAAUUCGGAAAUUUCAGGGUGUGACAACACUACCCCCCUUAACAAGAAUCUCGUCCCGAGAUUCGCAAAGGCUAGCAAGAGACAAAGGUUUAGGUGGGUAGCAUCCAACACUUAUUAGCUUCUUCCUAGAUCGUUCAUCCUUACGUAAGCCCCUCAAUCAUGCUUCUUUAUGCUUCACUACAUCACAUAAAACACUUCAGGGAUACUUAGUCUAAUUCCUCUUUUAAGUAUCCUUUCCUUCCCUCUGCUUCUUUGGCCCAUCUUUGAAGAAUUUUCUUCAUUUCUUGGUAAAGUGAUUUGAAUAGAGCUGAAUUGCUUCCCUCCGGCUCGACUGUCACCCUUCAAGUCUUCAUACGCAUCCUUGAGUCUUCUUAUCCAUCUGGUCCAAACGCUUGUUGGGGCAUUGACUAAUGAAAUGUCCCUCUUCUUUACGGUAGAAACAUGUUUUUCUUGCUUUGGUACUUUGGCAACUGAAUGUGGUAUGGGAAUUGGGCAUUGGAAAUUGAUGGCAUUCUUUCCUGAUUGAGGCGUCUUGAUCAUUCGUCCUGACAAAGAGGCCAACUGAUGUUGUCGGGUUGAAGGCAGAGCUUUUGGGUACUUGGUCCUGGGGUUGAUCAUCUUUCUCUUUUGCACACCAACUAAUCAAGAUGUCCAUUUUCUCCACACUGGAGCCAAUACAAUUUGGCUCUAGCGGACUUGGUCGACUUAUGCUUUAUUGGACAGUUAUUGGCAUAAGGCCCUUCUUCACCGCAUCUGAAGCACAAUACUUUUACACAUCCAUCUUGGUUUCCUUUCUACUCCCUAGUAACUCUCGGUGGAAUAACUGGUGCAUCAGGAUUCUUAUUGAUGGGGUUACCAUGUGGAUGGUGAACAACUUUAGGCUGUGGUUGGUGGAAACUAGGCUGAGUAUUGUUAUCUGCCAAUGGUUGUGGUAACUUCAUCUUCUCUUGACUUGCUUUACUAGUUGGCUUCUUGGCUCGCCUACUCCUCUAGGGCUGAAAUUCUUUGAAAGAGAUACUCCAACACUCAAGGUUCAUAGUCUGAGUACUAUCUUCAUCUUGGGUAACUUCCUCUAGGGAUGGCCCUUGGGCAUCCAACUUCCUCCUCUUAUUGAUAUCUAAAUGAUGAUGUUGUCUAGCUUUAGCUGUCAUUAGGCUAUCUUCUUUCUGGAGACAUGGAAGACGAUGGUGUUCCUGGAAUCUUAACAUCUUUGUAUUGUCUCUCCAUUUCCAGCUCCGACGUUCUAUGGCUUCUCUUGUUCCUUUGACAGUCCCAGGCUUCAGCAACUUGCCUCUUCACUAGUCCAGUGGGAAUUCUAGCCUUGGUUAUCUCCAUGUUAUGAGGGGAUGAUGUGUCAGUCUGUUUUCCUUCCUUGUAAGACUUGAGCCUGCAUAGCUGAUAGCUUCUCGUUGUCGAACGGUGGUGGAGCAAACAAAACGUGAUGGUCAUCACUGGUGAUAGGGUUGUGGUUCUGAGGAAGUGAGGCUUGCUCUGUGAUAUACUGAUGGAUAUGGACCAUGGUUUGAGACAUUGCUUGUAAAACCUGAGUUUGUAUUGCCAUAUACUCUAACAUCUUGCGUUCGAAUGAUGCGGCUACAGGUGGAAUGUUAAGAUCUCCUUCAUUGGCUCUAUCUUCAUGAUUUUCAUUGGGACUCGCCAUUUGGUUUUGUGAUAAAGAUAGGAUCGGUAGAAAAUAGGAAAUGGAUAAAAUUGCAGAACAAGGUAGAGCACUUCAUGAUAUCUUCGUCUUUUCUUGGUCGUCAUCCAAGUAAGGUAGGAGGAAGGAUAGAAAGCAGCAAGGUGGCAAGUAAACUAGGGUAGGGCCUUCUUUCCUUUGACUUGCUUCUAUUCCGACGGUGAUAGUGGCGAUAGCCUCUGCUUGUUGAUAUUGGUGUUGCCUUCACUCUCUUCUUGAUGUCCAUCAGAACUGGGAGAUAGAAAGAAAAAUAACAAGGAUGUGGGAGGUACAAGCAGAUUCAAAGAGAGAAAAGAAAAUAAAAAGGUGGGAGACAACAAGUUUCUUAUGGCAGAGUGGAUAGUCUUUCAUCUUUUCUUGUCGCGAGUAGAAUCUCCCUGCUUUCUUCAUCUUCUUUGGUUCUUGUAAUCAUCAUUAGAGUAAGAUGGAGAUCAGAGUAAAGCCUUCUAUUCUUCAACUUGCUUAUAGCGAGACGGUGGUGGUGAUGUUAACUCCUGCUUGUUGACGUUGGUGUUGACUUUAGUUCCCUCUUUUCUGAUAUCCUUCAUUGUCUCGGGUAGAAAGCAAUGGAUGACAAGGAUAUGGGAGAUUCAAAAGAAAAACCCAGCUAGGCAACUGAUGUCAUUGUAGAUAGAAGACCCACAAUACACCAACAAUCAUUACAAAGAAACAAAUCAGACAAUUUCAUCAAAACAAGCAUCAUAAUGCAAGCACAAAAUUUCACCAGUCAACACACAAUUAGGGAACGACGCUAAACGUUGUUAGUAAGGCUGCGAGGGGUACUUCCUAAGCAUGUGUUGUUUGGUAAGGCUUCAACAUGCUUGGUGUCCUUCAGCUUGUGCAGCAUUGACUCCAGCUGUUUGGUGCACGUUUCAGUUGCUCAGACUUGACUUCUAGUGGUGAACUGGUAACUUCAUUCUCCAGAUGUCUUGAACAGGCUUUAAGACAGGUGGCAUGGAUCAUCUAGAUAUUUUUGAAUAAAAUGAGACAUUUUGGAAUCAAAAGUCAAGGAAAAGAUUCCAAGGUAGCAUUUAUUUCAAAAGCAACGAGAGGUACUAUGGGGAAGAUGGAUAUACUGAAAAUAAAGUUAAGGAGGAGAUAGGUUUACAAGGAUAAGUAAGUAAGGAAAACAUUAAGGAGGCAAAUGAACAGGUGAUGAGAGAGUAGCAAUAUCACUAAGAAAUCAAGGAGGUGUAUUGCAUCAAACAGGUAAGAUCAUUCAUCAAGAAGGAGAUGCAUGAUCAAGAUCAAGCAGUGAUCAAGGAGAGAGGAAAAAAACAGACAAGGAUUGAGGGUCUAACAUUUGCAAGACAAGUAGUGCAAAUGUAAAGAGCUCAAGUUAUCAAGGAGGAUUGAGAAAAGAAAAAUGAUCAAGGGGUGAGAAUAUUUUUCAGAAAGGUCAAGGAUAAGGCAGGAAUUGUUUAUAUAGUAAAAUAGACCUUAGGAAGUGACCAUUGCUAUCUAGGCUUACGUCCUACAGUCGAUACGGCUCUGAUACCACUUCUGUCACACCCAGUUUUAAAGGUAAAACCGAAUGCUACCUAUAUGUAUGCCAGGAUCAAGUUUCAUACAUAUAGUGACAUCAUAAGUGAAUAACAGCAACAGUAUCACGUAAAAAGAUACAAAGACUUACGAAACCAUCAGAGAUAUACACCUUAAUUAUGGAAACGGAGGCUCCAAACUUCACAGGCAAACGACUGGGGGUUGCGUACGCCUAGAACUCAGCACCAUCUUCACAACAACUUCAUAGCAGCUUCUUCUUCUGAGCAAUGUUGGUUAUAGCAAGGGUGAGCACUUGUCGUACUCAGCAAGUGUGAGGAGAAUAUGAAUGCAGGGGUUAAACAAGGAAAGGCUGACUGGUUGACUGCAUUAAGCAUUUUUAGUUGGUCAAAUUUUAUUAGCACCUGAUUACUAAGGUAUAAGUAUAUACCAACCCACAAUUAAUAUAAGCAUAAACAUAAGCCAUAAGCAUAUGGCACAACCAUAACCAUAGCAUAAACCACAAUUUAAAUCCAUCUUCAAGUAUAUUACUCAUGUGAGGGUCCAGGCCGCUCUUAACCGUGAGCACGGCUGAUCGAUCAGUUUUACACUCUGCAGAGGUCGCACAUCUUUACCCACAAGUCGCGUAAAAGCUCAAAAGAACUUUAGACCCAACCACGCUUGUGCUGAUCAGGCACAAUACCACACUUCCGAGGUGUGAUUGCAUAGGGACGCUACGAGGCCUUUACAAAGAUUCAUUAGUCAGUGGUAACCCGCUAAGGUUUCGGUGUCUGGCGUGCACCACCCAUCCCAGGUAAAAUGCAACGACUCAGUCCCCCCUCUUGCCUCAUCACGAGUAAGGUCACCCCAGACUAAGGUUUCUAAUUAAUCAGCCAAGACCAGAGCCAUUUAGUCUUGUGGUAGCACUGUUUUCCUGGGUGGUUCUCCAUGUUCCAAUUAACAUUGUAAUCUUGUAUUAACAAGAGGUGUAGCAUAAAUAAAAUAAGUUCAUCAUCUUUGUUCAUUAGAACCACCAUAACCCAAAUAUAGCAGCUAAGCAUAGCUACCCAACAGAAAGGUAAACCCAGGUUGGCAAGGAAUAAUCACGAAAACUAGGCAAACCUUAAUAGGACCCAUCAAAUUUAAUGCAAGCAUAUGCAAUAGUGAUUAAACAGAGUUAUUGGGAUAAAAGCACAAGGACACACUUGCCUUUCUCCAACGAAAAGUUACUCUUACUUCUCUUCGGCUCUUGCUCACUUGAAACUUGUACUCUUAAGAGCUUCCGAACGGCGAUCCUUCUACUCGGAGCAAACAUCGGCACAAACAUGCAAGCAAACAAACAAAUACAACUAAGAGCAGUACACCAAAAUAAAAGACAGACUUUAAAAGAGCGUACUAACGACAAGGCUCGAUCUAAGGUCACGCGAACGUAAGGAACACUUAAAACGGAACUAUGGUUGAAAAGAUAAAGCUAUCGAGAGUUUUGAAUUAUAAAAGAAAGAUAAGAGCUACAAGCUUUAUUUAUUUUAGUUGAGAAAAGCAAUGUAAAGAUAUUUCAGAGAAAUAUCCUUAGUUAGAAUUAAUCAAGUCAUAUUUAUAUUUUCAUAAGAAAAGACGGUGUAAAGCUUACUCCAAUUUUAUUUAUAAAUAUUUGAGUACAAUUUAUGCCAAUUAAACAUUUAAUUUAAAAAUAAGAUACAUGUAGACAUCUAAGCGUAUAGCUUUACAUCUCGAGUUCAACUAAGUAGAUUAAAUUAAAAACACAUUUACAUUUAUAUUAGCCAAAUUAAUAUUUAAUUAUGAAAACUCGAGAUAUAACCUAUACAGAUUUUAUUUAGAAAACAAAUUGAAUAAACAUUAAUCAAAUUGAAUUUAAUUUAUGAAACGCCGAGGUAUAACUCUAAGUGGCUUUUAAUUGGAAGAAUUAUUUAGAUAGGCAUUAAUCCAAUUAACUUUAGUUUAUGAAAAACCGAUAUAUAACCUAAUUGGCUUUUAUUUAGAAGAGGGUAUGAAGUAGGUAUUAAUCAAAUUAACAAUUAUUAUGAAAAACGAUGUUUAACGCUAAAUAGAUUUUAUUCAGAGAAGAACUCGUUUGUCAGGCAUUAAUCAAUUUUAAUAUAAAUUUUAUUUUCAAAAACAUGUGUGAAGGAAAACAUACCACUAACGUGUAAUUUACAUCAUUAUGAAUCUAACGCAACUUGAACGGACGAAAACGGAAUUAAAACGUGGGUUCUAUGGGUUAAACAAGGUUGUAGGGGCCUAAACGUAAUUAACCGUAGACUUGGAGGGUUAGCUGAGAAGAUUGGCAAGACACAAGAAAUAGUGCUCGCGAAAAGGUUAAAGGACAGGGUUAGAUUUGCAAAACCGCAGGGGCUGGACUGGAUCUAGGGAAACUAAUAGAUCCAGGGGGUUAUCUGCUAGUUUGCCAAGACACAAAGGAAAGAGGAAAAAAUUACAAAGUUCUCCAGGGGCUAAACUGAAAAACGGCGCUUCAUCUUCUUCCCCACGCCAGGAGCAGGCGGCGGACAGAAACAGAAGGCAAGGCAGUCUGUUACGGUUGCAAAAACAAGGAAAAGAGAGAAAAAGAGGGAAUCGCCGGAAACGAAGUCCGAUCUCGCGCAUGAACGGCAAAAUGGAACGAUAUCGACGAGGCGAACAAGAUGGUGUGCUCACCUUCGGCAAGAGAUGAACAAUGGUGGCGGAAAAGCUCGCCGGAGUUGGGGAAGACGACGGAGCCGACAUCGGAUUCAUGCAAUCCACCACACCACGGCGUAGAGCUCGAAGAGAGGAACUCCAUGGUGGUGUCGGUUUUCGCCGGAAGUUCACGGUUUCGCCGGAAAAGCUCGCCGGAGUUUGACAAAGACCGAACUUUGACUUCAGAUCUACGGAGUUAGGAGAUGCAACUCGUAAAAAGGUUUUCAGAUCUGAAAUCC
rnacentral:lncRNA from 1 species